AACCGGUCAAUUGAUUCAGACCGGCAACUGAUCAAGGGAAGCUGCACGUGAAUCCCAUCCUCCCCACCUUUAAAUGGCUGGGGUCGCCUCAAGAUGGCAACCACACCUGGAAUCGGGGGCCAUCGGAUCAAGACGCCGCCCCGUCACAUGUGCGAUCAUUCCUCUCGUUCCAUAUAAAGACUCCCGUACCUGUGCAGAUCCAACGGCUCCGAGAUGAAGACAUAAAAUACCAGGCGUUAUGUUGCGCACCUGAAACGCCACGUGGCACUAGUCCACCACUUCUCAUCAAGGCUUUGUUAAAUUAACGGGAGGCGCCUUCUUCCCGCUUCUGGAACCCAGAGUCGAUGGGUGCCCAAUAGAGCGCACCAUUUGUCCUCUUCUCCUCCCCCACCCCCCCCCCGGGACCCCUUCGGAGGAGCCCGGUGCGAGCGUGGAAGACGAUCUUUGAGAGCGGUUUAGUUUUCUUUUUCCCUUCUUGAAUUUGUUCUUUGGCUUCACGGAUUGGGGCUUCUUGGUUUUCUCCAAGAGGUCGAAUCGGAUCGGAGAUGGCGAUGGGAGCUGUGGUAUCCGGCAUAAACUUGAGCUCCCCUCUCGUAUCAGUUGGAGUUUGUGAAAUCAAAAUUCUGCGCGAUUAAAUGCUGCAUCGGUAUCAGAUCAAAAUUCCGUGAGAUCACGUGCUGCACCGUUUUCAGGUUCAUUGAUCUUUUUUUCACCCGAUUCUUGACGUCUUGUAAUCUUCUUUUAAGAAACGAUUUUGUUGGUAUUUUAUCUUUUUCUUUCUUUUUCCUUGAUCUUUUAUUAUCUUGUUCAAUCAUAAUUUCUAUCUGAAGUUGUCGUAAUUUAAAUUUAGUGUGAUUAUGUGUUGCAUCGAUGUGUUAGCUAUGAUGGGUAUUUAUUGUUAAAUACUAGUGGAAUUUAGGAACGUAGGAUGGGAUGGUUCUUGGAGGAUGGAAUAAAUUUUUGGAGUUUUGAUCUGUUAUUUCGUCUCGUAGUUUCUUGCAUAAUGUGUGUAAUACCUCUGUUCCCAUUCAGACUCAAGCCCAAAAGAUAUAGCAUGAUCUUUAAAAUACUGAAAAAAAAAAGAGAAACUUUUUAAGCAGCAUGGAUUGGGUUAUGGACAGCCAACUAAAACUCUCGAAGGAGUUCUUUCUUCCCUUCUUCCCAAUUGAAAAGAGACCUAAUUUGAUUGGGAUUCAGUUUAUUUUUAAUCUCCAAUCUUCCUACUAGCGUCUAUUUAAAAGCUCAGACACUCCUCUCAGAUCAAUUGUUCGCGUUGGACCUUUUUUUUUUCCUAAUUUUCUCUGGAGCCGACUUGAUUUACGGUUGUGUUUGUCGAAAAACUUUGCCGGAGGUCAGAUAAGAGUUCUCUAAAGCACUAGCUGAUCUUUCGAUCCACCAUUCCUGACCCUUAGACUUUGAUUUCGAUCGACAAUCGUUGAAUUUUCUCUUUUUUUUUUUAAAGCUUCUGAAGUUUUUCUUUUUUUCUUUGUUUGUUUUUAUUUUCUUUACCGCUGUCGUUGUCGUUAGUCACUGGACCAGGGGCCUUGGAUCGCACUGAUAUGGUUUACCCUUCUGGCCAUGGGCACCACCGGUUGGGUAUUCCCCUCCUUCAGGAAAUAAGGGGAUGAUGGUCCCAAUUUUGUAAAGAAUCCACCAGAGAAAAGCAAGAAAAAAAAAUUCUUUUUCUUUCUACUUUCUCUCUCUAAUUUUUUUUAAUUUUUUUUCUCUCUCUAAUUUCUCUCUUUACGAAUUUACUCUUUUUAGAAUUAUUUUUUUUUGAAAAAUUAUCUCCCUAAGAUUAAUUGAAUAAAAAUUUUCUCUUAAUGAUUUUGAUAUGACUUUAGCAAGGAAAAUCCUAAUCGGUGGUCACCAGAUAGUAUGCUGGCAUCCAUCUUAACCAGAUCAGAUACCAUUAGAUUCGAUUAUUUAUGAUUUUUAUUAAAUCAUUUAUACACUAAUUCAAACAUGACUUGAUUAAAUCAUCUUGAUUAGAUCGAUCGGAUUGUCGAAUAAUAUUAUUUGAUUAGCUUUAUUCCAUCAUGUUAAUUUAUCGUUCUUCUGAUAUUCUCUCUAUGUGAUUUAUGAAACUAGUGAACUUGAUUUAUUGCUUUAAAUCUGAGUUGAUUUCAAUAGGAGAUUUUGAAUUGCUCUGUUAAUCAGACAAUAUACCCACACCAUUCGAGCCUUCAUCUAGCAUCGUAAGAUUUGAUCAUUAUUAAUCUUUAUUAGAUCAUUAUAUUUUAAGUGAUUCUGAUUAAAUGAAGCUAUUUAAUCAAAUUGAUUCUUGACUAUCAAUUAGUGUAUCAACAUCUACUUUGAUUUAUGUCAGACACUAAUAGAUUUGAUCAUCUUUGAUCUCUAUUGGACUAUCUAUUUCCUAUUUUAAGUAUGAUUAGAUAAAAUUAUUUUAAUUAGAUCAACUAAGAUGUUAGAUGCUUCCGCUUCUGGUUAGCUUUGCGAGGAUGUCAAAACUUAAUAUUUUUUAUUAGUUAUAGUUUAAGACUGAUAGAAGAAUAUAUUUUAAAUAAUAGAUUCUGAAGGAUGCUCUCAUGAUUGAUUGAAUCUGUUCGUUCAGUAUUUUAUAAAGGUAAGUAAUGAACCAACUUUCAAGAUAUUUAUAAUUUAUUUUGAAAGCAAAUAAUUGAUCUCUGAAGUUAUGCAUGAUUUAAAAAUUAUUUUUUGAAUGGAAGUAAUUUAAAAUUUUAAGAUUUUUAGAAUAUUAUGAUUUAUUGAUUUAUUAUGGAAUAUGCAUAUAUUCAAUGGAAUUAUGAUACUUAUAUAUUAUGUUGCAAAAGUAUUUUGAUACAGAUCGAAUUUUGUUCUCUCACUUUAAUUAGGUUUUAGAUCCUACCAAUAGGGGUUAUAUAUUGAUUUUUAGAUUCUACCAAUAGGAGUUAUACGUUGACUUUUGGAUACUGCUAGUGGAUGUUAUGUAUUGAUUUUUGGAUCCUGUCAAUGGGAGUUAUGCAUUGAUUUUUGGAUCUUAUUAAUGGAGAUUAUAUAUUGGCACUCUAUUCUAGCCUUGUCAUAGGGAUAAAUGUGGUCGUAGUUAAGACUGUUGAGUUAUAUAUAUUUUAUUUUGAAUUAGAUUUAUGAUUAUGUAUGCAUAUGAGUAUUUGAAAAGAUUUGAUUUGCAUUAAUUAGCUUAGAAUACAUAUUAUUAUGAUAUUCAUGGCAUUUGUUUUUGAACAUCAUAUCUUAUGAUAAUAUCUGAAAUAUUUAAUAAGAUAUUCAUUUACUUACUAGACUAUCGAGCUCAUUACCUCUUCUUUCUUUUCAGAUUCAGAUUCUUAAUUAUGGAUAUUGAUACUAUUUUUGGAGUAAGUUAGAAGCAAGAGCUGAUAGUAUCAACAGAGUUUAGAUAAGGAUUUAUUAUAAUAUUUUACAGGAUUAUUAUGCAAAGUUUAAUUGAUAUAUGAUCUUUUGAAUAUUAUUAAAAUUUUAUUAGAGAUAAAAGUUGAUUUUAGUUAGUUAAUUUUUUGGACUUAAUUUAUUAUAAAUUUCACUGUGAUAUAUUAAUAUCGUGUUUGGAAUACCUUGCAUGCUUAUGGAGAGAGUUCUCCAGGAAUAUGCGGAUGGUUAUCGUAAGUCAGGGUUACGACAACCAUCACAUAUUCAUAGAGAACUCUCUCCACAAACAUGCAAGACAUUCCAAACAUGAUAUCAAUGUAUCACAAUAGAAUUAAUAAUAAAUUAAUUUUAAAAUUAAACUAACUAAAAUCAAUUUUUAUCUCUCACAAAAUUUGAAUAACAUUUAAAAGAUCUUUCAUUAAUUAAAUCUUGAAUAAUAAUCUUGUAAAAUAUAAUAAUAAGUCUAUUUUUAUACUUGAUUGACACUAUCGACUCUUGCUUUUAAUUCACUCCCAAAAUAAUAUCCACAUCCAUAAUUAAGAAUCUGAAUCCGCAAAAAAAGGAGAGGUAAUAAACUUGAUAGUCCAGUAAGUAAUAAAUAUCUCAACUAGAUAUUUUAGAUAUUAUCAUAAGAUAUGAUGCUCGAAAAUAAGUGCUAUGAAUAUCAUAAGAACAUAUAUUCCAUGCCAAUUAAUACAAAUCAAAUCUUUUCAAGUACUCAUAUACAUACAUAAUCAUAAAUCCAAUUCAAAAUAAAAUACAUAUAACUCAACCAUACUUAUUUCUAUGGCAAGGUCAGAAUAGAGUGAUAACAUACAAUCCCACUGGCAGGGUCCAAAAAUCAAUAUAUAACUUUCACUAGCAAGGUCCAAAAAUCAAUACAUAACUCCACUGGCAGAGUGUAAAAAAUCAAUAUAUAACCUCGAUUGGCAAAAUUCGAAAACCAAUGUAUAACCUCUAUUGGCAGGCUCCAAAAUAUAAUUAGGCUAAAAACAUAAAAUUCGAUUCGUAUCAAAAUACUUUUGCAACAGAACAUAUAAGUACCAUAAUUCUAUUGAACAUAUGCAAAUUCUAUAAUAAAUCAAUAAAUCAUAAUAUUUUAAAAAUCUCAAAUUUUACAAUCACUUUCAUUCAAAAA